ensembl:snoRNA SNORA73 Small nucleolar RNA SNORA73 family
CCAACGUGGAUAUCCCAGGAGGUCACUCUCCCUGGGCUCUGUCCUGGUGGCGUAGGGGAGCAGAGGCAUUGCCUGUGAUGUACAGUCCCUUUCCACAACGUUGGAGAUGAAGCUGGGCCUUGGGCCUGCCCCUGCAUAUUCCUACAACUUCUCAGAGUCCUGUGGACAGUGACUGAGGAGGCAAACCAUGCAGGAAACAGUC